rnacentral:misc_RNA from 1 species
UUUUACAAUUGUUUCCCACCCAAGAGAGAACGAACCAUUUGAUAAAGUAUCAACGGGCCUGAUUCCCAUUAGUUGAAACAAAAUGGGAAGCAUAGGAACAGAGAACAAGGCAAUGCCUCAAGCAAUCUCCAGUGGGACAAGAAGGACAACUCAAUAGGAAAACCCUAAAGAGAAACCCCAAUUAGAGCUUAAUAUAGCGCAGCUAUGACUCAAAACGCUUCCAUAGUUAUCUGGAAGGCGAUCUUAAGGGCUGCGCUUAUCACAGAAACAAAAAUGAACCCAAAAAUUGUGAGACUCAUAAACAAAAUCACAGAAGAGGAAA